rnacentral:rRNA from 1 species
ACGCUCGACACCUACGGGAGUCAGCAGUAGGGAAUCUUCCACAAUGGGCGCAAGCCUGAUGGAGCAACACCGCGUGAGUGAAGAAGGGUUUCGGCUCGUAAAGCUCUGUUGUUGGAGAAGAACGUGCGUGAGAGUAACUGUUCACGCAGUGACGGUAUCCAACCAGAAAGUCACGGCUAACUACGUGCCAUCAGCCGCGGUAAUCUGAGCGGGCUGGCAAGGC